rnacentral:rRNA from 1 species
GACGAACGCUGGCGGCGUGCUUAACACAUGCAAGUCGAGCGGUAAGGCCCUUUCGGGGGUACACGAGCGGCGAACGGGUGAGUAACACGUGGGUGACCUGCCCUCAGCUCUGGGAUAAGCCCGGGAGACUGGGUCUAAUACCGGAUAUGACUUCAUGACGCAUGUUGUGGAGUGGAAAGCCUUGUGCGGCUGAGGAUGGGCCCGCGGCCUAUCAGCUUGNGGUGGGGUGAUGGCCUACCAAGGCGACGACGGGUAGCCGGCCUGAGAGGGCGACCGGCCACACU